GACGAACGCUGGCGGCGUGCUUAACACAUGCAAGUCGAACGGAAAGGCCUUUUCGGAGGUACUCGAGUGGCGAACGGGUGAGUAACACGUGGGUGAUCUGCCCUGCACUCUGGGAUAAGCCUGGGAAACUGGGUCUAAUACCGGAUAGGACCGCACUUUAGUGUGUGUGGUGGAAAGUUUUUUCGGUGUAGGAUGAGCCCGCGGCCUAUCAGCUUGUUGGUGGGGUAAUGGCCUACCAAGGCGGCGACGGGUAGCCGGACUGAGAGGUUGGUCGGCCACAUUGGGACUGAGAGACGGCCCAGGCUCCUACGGGAGGCAGCAGUGGGGAAUAUUGCACAAUGGGCGCAAGCCUGAUGCAGCGACGCCGCGUGGGGGAUGACGGCCUUCGGGUUGUAAACUCCUUUCGCCAGGGACGAAGCGUUUUGUGACGGUACCUGGAGAAGAAGCACCGGCUAACUACGUG
rnacentral:rRNA from 1 species